rnacentral:lncRNA from 1 species
CCUUUCGCUUUAUGGCGUGCUCGUUUGGGUUGGGCGUCGGCUAAGAGUGCUCGGAGCGUGGAUUAACUCCAGUCUCCAAUCAGGUGUGUAUUUAUCACUACUCUUGUUGUUGGAUGGCUACUUCGGGCCGCGAUGGGACGAAAUGGGCCAUGUGGGCCCAAUGGGCCUACGGGCCCAAUUGGAUAAGUUGUUUGAUUGUGUAGUAAAUAUUGGACUAGGCUAGGUGAAUCGCAUAUCUGUGGCUAGGUUUGGGCUAAAAGGGCCACACGAGCGUGUGGGCCCAUUUGGGCCGAGAAUAGGCUUUAGGCCCAUUUGUAUUGUUAUCUAUGUUUAGAAUACUUUAGUUUACCAAUUACUGAAAUGCCCUCGACUUGUAAAAUUACCAAAGUACUCCCGAUUUACAGAAUUACCGUUUUACCCUCGAUUUACAGAAUUACCGUUUUACCCUCAAUUUUUAAAAUUACCGUUUUACCCUCAGUUUACAGAAUUACUAUUUUACCCUCGAUUUACAGAAUUACCGUUUUACCCUCGAUUUGUAAAAUUACCGUUUUACCCUUGAUUUACAAAAUUAUUGGUUUACCCUUAGUUUACAAAAUUAUCGUUUUACCCUCGAUUUACAGAAUUACCAUUUUACCCUUGAUUGUGAAAUUACUGAAAUACCCCUGUAGGGUAGAAUUUCCGAAAUACCCCUAGAGGGUAGAAUUACUGAAAUACCCUUAUAGGAUAGAAUUACCAAAAUACCCCUGUAGGGUAGAAUUAUCGAAAUACCCUUGUAGGGUAGAAAUACCGAAAUACCCCUAUAGGGUAGAAUUACCGAGAUACCUUUGUGGGGUAAAAUUACCAUUUUGCCCCUAGAGUGUUAAAUGACUGUUUUGCCCUUGUGGGCAAGUGACUAACUUGGACUAUGUGUUUGACGGAUUUGAUUGUGAAUAUAUGUUGGUGAUAUGAAUGACUUGACUGUGAUUGUUUGAUUCAAAUAUGGGCAUGACAUUCUGCAUACAUGACAUGUUGCAUGGGUUGGGAUUUUGUACGGAGGAAGCGUUCUGGUGGCUAUGCCACAAAUAUCUGUUCUGGUGGCUCUGCCACAAUAUCUGUAUCUGGUGACUCUGUCACGAUAUCUGUUCUGGCAGUCAUGCUGCAAAUUCUGUGGUGUGUAGCGGAUGGGUGGGUCGAGUUGUCUCCCCACAUGGUGUAAGGUUGGUACGGGGGUGUAUACGGCUGGAUUGGGUUGGGAUUGCGUUCACAUUCUGAUUCUGACACGUAAUUCUAAUUCUGAUUCUGAUUCUGUUACUAAUACUGAUUCUGAUUCUGAUUCUGUUACUGAUUCUGAUUUUGAUUCUGUCACCUAAUUCUGAUUCUGAUUCUAAUUCUGUUACUAAUAUUGAUUCUAAUUCUGAUUCUGUUACUGAUUCUGAUUCUGAUUCUCAUUUUGGUUCUAAUUCUGAUAAUGUUUCUUAUUCUGUAAUGGGCUAAGGUCCAUCUGGUACUGUCUGUUGUAAUGGGCUAAGACCCGAUUGGUACUGAAAUUGUAAGUAAGGCUGGGGCCAGACUUUUAAUUCUUUUAGAUGACUGACUGUUCCUUUUUAUAGUAGGGGAUUUCACACUGAGUUUUCGUAAACUCACCCCGUUUAUUAACCUUUUAGGUAAUUUCCAGCCUUAGAUGGAUCGGGGUUGCUAGGGGCUCGGAGGAAGCCACACACACUGUUUAUGUUAUAGUUUUGAUUAUUACCUUUAAAUUAUUUUAUGUGGGUUGUAGUAAAGCCGU